CUACGGGGGCUGCAGUGGGGAAUAUUGGACAAUGGGCGAAAGCCUGAUCCAGCCAUGCCGCGUGUGUGAAGAAGGCCUUCGGGUUGUAAAGCACUUUCAGUGGGGAAGAAAGCCUUGGGGCUAAUACCCUCGAGGAAGGACAUCACCCACAGAAGAAGCACCGGCUAACUCCGUGCCAGCAGCCGCGGUAAUACGGAGGGUGCGAGCGUUAAUCGGAAUUACUGGGCGUAAAGCGCGCGUAGGCGGUCUGAUAAGCCGGUUGUGAAAGCCCCGGGCUCAACCUGGGAACGGCAUCCGGAACUGUCAGGCUAGAGUGCAGGAGAGGAAGGUAGAAUUCCCGGUGUAGCGGUGAAAUGCGUAGAGAUCGGGAGGAAUACCAGUGGCGAAGGCGGCCUUCUGGACUGACACUGACGCUGAGGUGCGAAAGCGUGGGUAGCAAACAGGAUUAGAUACCCGGGUAGUC
rnacentral:rRNA from 1 species